GCGGGGUUGCCCUAGCCUGGUAGGGGGCAGGCCUGCUAAGCCUGUGGUCCUUACGGGCCGCGCGGGUUCAAAUCCCGCACCCCGCGCCA
rnacentral:tRNA from 1 species